rnacentral:rRNA from 1 species
GACGAACGCUGGCGGCGUGCUUAACACAUGCAAGUCGAACGGAAAGGCCCUGCUUUUGUGGGGUGCUCGAGUGGCGAACGGGUGAGUAACACGUGAGUAACCUGCCCUUGACUUUGGGAUAACUUCAGGAAACUGGGGCUAAUACCGGAUAGGAGCUCCUGCUGCAUGGUGGGGGUCGGAAAGUUUCGGCGGUUGGGGAUGGACUCGCGGCUUAUCAGCUUGUUGGUGGGGUAGUGGCUUACCAAGGCUUUGACGGGUAGCCGGCCUGAGAGGGUGACCGGCCACAUUGGGACUGGGAUACGGCCCAGACUCCUGCGGGGGGCAGCAGUGGGGAAUAUUGCACAAUGGGCGGAAGCCUGAUGCAGCAACGCCGCGUGCGGGAUGACGGCCUUCGGGUUGUAAACCGCUUUCGCCUGUGACGAAGCGUGAGUGACGGUAAUGGGUAAAGAAGCACCGGCUAACUACGUG